AGAGUUUGAUCCUGGCUCAGGACGAACGCUGGCGGCACGCUUAACACAUGCAAGUCGAACGAGAGAAGAGAAGCUUGCUUUUCUGAUCUAGUGGCGGACGGGUGAGUAACACGUGAGCAAUCUGCCUUUCAGAGGGGGAUACCGAUUGGAAACGAUCGUUAAUACCGCAUAACAUAAUUGAACCGCAUGAUUUGAUUAUCAAAGAUUUAUCGCUGAAAGAUGAGCUCGCGUCUGAUUAGCUAGUUGGUAAGGUAACGGCUUACCAAGGCGACGAUCAGUAGCCGGACUGAGAGGUUGAUCGGCCACAUUGGGACUGAGACACGGCCCAGACUCCUACGGGAGGCAGCAGUGGGGAAUAUUGCACAAUGGGGGAAACCCUGAUGUAGCGACGCCGCGUGGAGGAAGAAGGUCUUCGGAUUGUAAACUCCUGUUGUUGAGGAAGAUAAUGACGGUACUCAACAAGGAAGUGACGGCUAACUACGUGCCAGCAGCCGCGGUAAAACGUAGGUCACAAGCGUUGUCCGGAAUUACUGGGUGUAAAGGGAGCGCAGGCGGGAAGACAAGUUGGAAGUGAAAUCCAUGGGCUCAACCCCAUGAACUGCUUUCAAAACUGUUUUUCUUGAGUAGUGCAGAGGUAGGCGGAAUUCCCGGUGUAGCGGUGGAAUGCGUAGAUAUCGGGAGGAACACCAGUGGCGAAGGCGGCCUACUGGGCCCCCAACUGACGCUGAGGCUGGAAAAGUGUGGGUAGCAAACAGGAUUAGAUACCCUGGUAGUCCACACUGUAAACGAUGAUUACUAGGUGUUGGAGGAUUGACCCCUUCAGUGCCGCAGUUAACACAAUAAGUAAUCCACCUGGGGAGUACGACCGCAAGGUUGAAACUCAAAGGAAUUGACGGGGGCCCGCACAAGCAGUGGAGUAUGUGGUUUAAUUCGACGCAACGCGAAGAACCUUACCAAGUCUUGACAUCCUGCGACGGUUCUGGAAACAGUACUUUCCUUCGGGACGCAGAGACAGGUGGUGCAUGGUUGUCGUCAGCUCGUGUCGUGAGAUGUUGGGUUAAGUCCCGCAACGAGCGCAACCCCUAUCAUUAGUAGCCAGCAUUUCGGAUGGGAACUCUGAUGAGACUGCCGGGGAUAACCCGGAGGAAGGUGGGGACGACGUCAAAUCAUCAUGCCCCUUAUGGGCUGGGCUACACACGUGCUACAAUGGUGCUAACAGAGUGAAGCGAACCCGCGAGGGCAGGCAAAUCACAAAAAUGGCAUCUCAGUUCGGAUUGUAGUCUGCAACUCGACUACAUGAAGCUGGAAUCGCUAGUAAUUGCAGAUCAGAAUGCUGCGGUGAAUACGUUCCCGGGUCUUGCACACACCGCCCGUCA
rnacentral:rRNA from 1 species